UUUCCGUAGGUGAACCUGCGGAAGGAUCAUUACAAUGUUCGGGGCGCAAGCCCCCGGUGCUAAACACACCAAACCCCUUGUGAAACGCCCUGGUACUUCGGCAGCUCCCUCGCGGGGUCAGUCUGCCGGCGGGAAACUCUUUGCAAAAUUAGUAUGUCUGAACAAAAACUUUAAUGUUAAAACUUUCAACAACGGAUCUCUUGGUUCCCGCAUCGAUGAAGAACGCAGC
rnacentral:misc_RNA from 1 species